GAUGAAGAACGUAGCGAAAUGCGAUAAGUAAUGCGAAUUGCAGAAUUCCGUGAGUCAUCGAAUCUUUGAACGCACAUUGCGCCCUCUGGUAUUCCGGAGGGCAUGCCUGUCUGAGCGUCAUUGUCAACCCUCAAGCUCAGCUUGCUGUUGGGUCCCCGUCGUUGCUUUAACGGCGGACCCGAAAGGUAAUGGCAGAGUCCGUGAGACCCUAGACGCAGCGAGCUUCUAGCACGCGUCUGGACGUUUUUCGGGCUCGGUCUUAACUAGAUGAUAACUUCCGAUUGACCUCAGAUCAGGUAGGGAUACCCGCUGAACUUAAGCAUAUCAAUAAGCGGACGA
rnacentral:misc_RNA from 1 species